CCUCAACAGAAACUGAACAGUCAACAACACCAGUCACCCAGGAGCAUUCUACAUCAGUAACUGACAUCACAACAACAGAGGUAUCUGAAUCUCCAUCUUCAGCCUUCACAGAUACCCCAACUUCAACAGAAACUGAACACUCCACAAUAGCAAGCACUGAAGACCAUUCUACAUCAGUAACUGAAAU